GUGGGGAAUUUUGGACAAUGGGGGCAACCCUGAUCCAGCAAUGCCGCGUGCAGGAAGAAGGCCUUCGGGUUGUAAACUGCUUUUGUACGGAACGAAACGGUCCUGGUUAAUACCUGGGGCUAAUGACGGUACCGUAAGAAUAAGCACCGGCUAACUACGUGCCAGCAGCCGCGGUAAUACGUAGGGUGCAAGCGUUAAUCGGAAUUACUGGGCGUAAAGCGUGCGCAGGCGGUUUUGUAAGACAGGCGUGAAAUCCCCGGGCUCAACCUGGGAAUGGCGCGUGUGACUGCAAGGCUGGAGUGCGGCAGAGGGGGAUGGAAUUCCGCGUGUAGCAGUGAAAUGCGUAGAUAUGCGGAGGAACACCGAUGGCGAAGGCAAUCCCCUGGGCCUGCACUGACGCUCAUGCACGAAAGCGUGGGGAGCAAACAGGAUUAGAAACCCCUGUAGUCC
rnacentral:rRNA from 1 species